AGAGUUUGAUCCUGGCUCAGAACGAACGCUGGCGGCGCGCCUAACACAUGCAAGUCGAACGGCCGAUGGGGCUUGCUUCAUCGGCAGUGGCGGACGGGUGAGUAACGCGUGGGGACCUGCCUUUCGGCUCGGGACAACCGUGGGAAACUACGGCUAAUACCGGAUACGCCCUGGGUGCAAAUCCAGGGGAAAGAUUCAUCGCCGAGAGAUGGACCCGCGUCCGAUUAGCUAGACGGUGGGGUAACGGCCCACCGUGGCUUCGAUCGGUAGCCGGCCUGAGAGGGUGCACGGCCACACUGGAACUGAGACACGGUCCAGACUCCUACGGGAGGCAGCAGUGGGGAAUUUUUGGCAAUGGGCGAAAGCCUGACCAAGCAACGCCGCGUGGGUGAUGAAGUAUCUUGGUACGUAAAACCCUUUCGGCAGGGACGAACCUAAUGACGGUACCUGCGGAAGAAGCCCCGGCUAACUCCGUGCCAGCAGCCGCGGUAAUACGGGGGGGGCAAGCGUUGUUCGGAAUUACUGGGCGUAAAGGGCGCGUAGGCGGUUGGAUAAGUCAGCUGUGAAAACCACGGGCUCAACUCGUGGCCUGCAGUUGAGACUGUCUGGCUUGAGUGUGGGAGAGGAGAGUGGAAUUCCUGGUGUAUCGGUGAAAUGCGUAGAUAUCAGGAGGAACACCGGUGGCGAAGGCGGCUCUCUGGACCACAACUGACGCUGAGGCGCGAAAGCUAAGGGAGCAAACAGGAUUAGAUACCCUGGUAAUCCUGGCCGUAAACGAUGGGUACUAGGUGUUGGGGGUAUCGACCCCUCCAGUGCCGGAGUUAACUCAAUAAGUACCCCGCCUGGGGAGUACGGCCGCGAGGUUGAUACUCAUAGGAAUUGACGG
rnacentral:rRNA from 1 species